rnacentral:rRNA from 1 species
AUUGAACGCUAGCGGGAUGCUUUACACAUGCAAGUCGAACGGCAGCGCGGACUUCGGUCUGGCGGCGAGUGGCGAACGGGUGAGUAAUGUAUCGGAACGUGCCCAGUAGCGGGGGAUAACUACGCGAAAGCGUAGCUAAUACCGCAUACGCCCUACGGGGGAAAGCAGGGGAUCGUAAGACCUUGCACUAUUGGAGCGGCCGAUAUCGGAUUAGCUAGUUGGUGAGGUAACGGCUCACCAAGGCGACGAUCCGUAGCUGGUUUGAGAGGACGACCAGCCACACUGGGACUGAGACACGGCCCAGACUCCUACGGGAGGCAGCAGUGGGGAAUUUUGGACAAUGGGGGCAACCCUGAUCCAGCCAUCCCGCGUGUGCGAUGAAGGCCUUCGGGUUGUAAAGCACUUUUGGCAGGAAAGAAGCGUCGCGGGCUAAUACCCCGUGGAACUGACGGUACCUGCAGAAUAAGCACCGGCUAACUACGUG